AGUGAACGCUGGCGGCAGGCCUAACACAUGCAAGUCGAGCGGAUGAAGGGAGCUUGCUCCUGGAUUCAGCGGCGGACGGGUGAGUAAUGCCUAGGAAUCUGCCUGGUAGUGGGGGAUAACGUCCGGAAACGGGCGCUAAUACCGCAUACGUCCUGAGGGAGAAAGUGGGGGAUCUUCGGACCUCACGCUAUCAGAUGAGCCUAGGUCGGAUUAGCUAGUUGGUGGGGUAAAGGCCUACCAAGGCGACGAUCCGUAACUGGUCUGAGAGGAUGAUCAGUCACACUGGAACUGAGACACGGUCCAGACUCCUACGGGAGGCAGCAGUGGGGAAUAUUGGACAAUGGGCGAAAGCCUGAUCCAGCCAUGCCGCGUGUGUGAAGAAGGUCUUCGGAUUGUAAAGCACUUUAAGUUGGGAGGAAGGGCAGUAGGUUAAUACCUUGCUGUUUUGACGUUACCAACAGAAUAAGCACCGGCUAACUUCGUG
rnacentral:rRNA from 1 species